CACGUAGGGGGCGAGCGUUGUCCGGAUUUAUUGGGCGUAAAGAGCUCGUAGGCGGUUCGAUAAGUCGGGUGUGAAACCUCCAGGCUCAACCUGGAGACGCCACCCGAUACUGUCGUGACUAGAGUCCAGUAGGGGAGCGUGGAAUUCCUGGUGUAGCGGUGGAAUGCGCAGAUAUCAGGAGGAACACCAGUAGCGAAGGCGGCUCGCUGGGCCGUUCCUGACGCUGAGACGCGAAAGCUAGGGGAGCGAACAGG
rnacentral:rRNA from 1 species